rnacentral:lncRNA from 1 species
AUUUGGCCCCGCGGCCCCGUUUUCAAAGCGCAGGUUCCGAUUUCCCGAGAGAUGGCAAAGGCCCUGGCAGGAAGUUUACAGGGUUUAACGUAAACAAGUUCUGGGGGAUUCUUUAAUAAUAAUAAUAGAGAAUUCCGCGUGCGCAGGGCGGGAGGGGGGAGUUGGCCUAAUGCCCCUGUGGGCUCGGCCUGCCGCCGCCGCGGGGCCUCUGACACUGCGCGCCAGGCCAGGUUCCUGAGAGCAGACAGCGCGGGCUGGGAGCGCCGGCAAGGGCGGCCCUCGCGCACCUGGCUGCCAGCCCGCAGGGGGCUCGCACGCAGACCUGCCCUUGCCACCUCAGCGCUCGGGUGCGGGCUGGGGGCGGUGGAGCCACGAAAGGUGGUGCCGAGAGCGGAGCGCAGGACAGCGCAGGAGCCCCGGCGCAUCGCGGCGCGCACAGACCCAGUGAGAAACUGAAGACCAGAGAGGGUGAGUGGUUUACUCAGUUUGGCACAACUGACCCCAACCUAGCCCUCCAUGAGGACUGAGCGCAUGAGAGAUCCUGAGCCACAGCCGCCCAGCCCUGCUCCUCUCGAAUUUCUGACCUACAGGAACUGCAAGAAGUAAUGAAAGACUGCUGUUUAAAGCCACUGCAUUUUGGCAUGAUUUGUUAUGCAGUCGUAGAUAACCAGAAAACAUCGGAUUUACAUUUUAAGGAUUUGGUGCAUGGGAUGGGCUCAGUUGGGCAGUUCUUCUGUUCCAUGUGAUGGUACUGGGGCUGCAGUCAUUCAGAGGCUCAACUGGGCUGAACGUGCAAGGUUUCUUGCUCACGUGGCCAUCAGUGGUGCUGGCUGCUGUUGGGAGCUCCACUGGACUUCUGUCCAGAGCUCCUCAGCUCACCUCUCUGUAUCCUUGCCCUGUGGCUCAGGCUUCUAACAAUACAGAGGCUGGAUUCCAAGAGGAGGGAAUUAGAAGCGUUCAGCCUUCUUAAGACCAGGAUUCAGAUGUCCCAGACUGUCACUGUAUUGACCGGAGCAUUUACAGGCCAGCCUAGUAAUUUUUCCAUCUUGGGCAGGAAUGGGUGGCAUAUGCUGGGGGUAGGGGUAGCAUUGUUGGGGAUCAUCUUUGGAGCUGUGUGCCAAGGAGUAAAUUGCUGGGCUGCUUUCUACCUGAGGAAGUCCACUAUGCUUGCUUGUGGAGAGUGGAUUGUGUGCUCAGAGUCCACAAGGAUUUAAGAAUCCGAGCCCUGCUGCCCUUGCCUCAGCCUGUGCAUUAGGGCCCGGUGGUGAGAGCACUGAGCCAUUGUGAAUCAAGGCCCCUCCCUCGACCUGCAUACUAACAGGCCAGAAGAGCUUGCUUGAUUUUGGUCCUAGGCUCCUGCCUGUGGGUUGGAUUCCAGGGGCACUCUCUCCUCCACAAACCAGACGGUGGCAGGUACAUCCCCUCAAUGGAAAUUGCCCACACUUCACCCUAAAGACAGAUCCUGCUGUUCAGCAACAAUGUGAGUGGCCCACACAUUUGUCCAGCAUGAAACCGUUUGCAGAUUCCUUUCCAGUACACAGUCCCGUCAGCCGGUCACUUCACGAUGACAGCUCCUCGAAGCACCUUUUGGUUUGCAGUUGUGUAGCUUAGAAGUAGGAGCCUGCACGGCUUCAGGAAUUCACAGAAGGAGCACACUUUGUGCUUGGAGAAGUUAAUUAUAGGAAUAUCCUGCAACCUGCUGCUCUGAGCCUGUGCACCUGGGGUGUUUCCCUGGAGGUCCUGUGUAUGAGGAUACUCAUCAGCAUGGGGUUUGGGAAGCCUAGCAGUGGAGACAACCUAGGUGGUCCUCUCCAGGGGAGUAGGUAAGAGCCCUACAGCAGUGAAAAGCAUUGAAGGAAAAGUGUGUUCAGCAGUGCUCUUAAUCUGAUCAGAGCAGCCUGAACACAUUCUAAACACAGGGCAUUUAGAACUAGGGUAGAGGCACUAGAGCACCAUAGAUACAAACUCAGAUUCUGAAGGUAAAUGCCCAGGUUCAAAUCCAAGCCCCCUCGCCAAGUGACCAUGACUCCCCCGAGUCACCUGACCUCUGUGUUUACAUCCUCAAAGUUAAGUAGUCAGGAAAGGGGGCUUGGGGCUUGCCACAUGGAUGGUUGCCACUCUCCUUUGCAAAGUGUAGUCCCCAAAAACAGGUGGAAGAGGGAAGGGUCCAAUUAGAAGGCCGAGUACCAGCUGCCAUGAAUAUGCCAGAGCUGCUGGCUAGUGAUAAAUAACUGAAACCCAGGGGGACAGCAGAGCUUGGGUGACCAUACAUUCUAGGAAAGAAAACAUGCCUGUUGUCCUGGCUUUUUAUCCAGCUUAGACAAAGAUGGGCAAAGAAAAUAAUUUAGAAAAUGGUAGAGAUGGGCACAGAGAAAGGGCACGGAGGGAGGCACAAACAGAAGGCCAAGUGAUGGUGGAGGCAGACAUUGGAGAAAUGCCUUUACAAGCCGGGGAAUGCCAAGGAUGCUGGCAACCCUGGGAGUGGGAAGAACCUGGAACACACCCUCCGUCAGAGUCUCCAGAAGGAACUGGCCCUUCAUCACCUUUCGGACUUCUGGCCUCCAGAACUGGGCAAGAAAAUGUUUCUGCUGUUGGAGGCCAUCCAGCUGGUGGUCAUUUGUUAUGGUUGCCACAGAAAACGAAUAUAGAUUUAGACAUCUAAUUUGCAUAUAUAGAUAUGCAUGUGUAUUUGUUAAAUAAAAGAUAAAGCAUGACAACUCGA